AGAGUUUGAUCCUGGCUCAGAAUGAACGCUGGCAGCAUGGAUUAGGCAUGCAAGUCGAGCGCGAAGCUUCAGCUUGCUGAAGUGGAGAGCGGCGAAAGGGUGAGUAACACGUGAACAAUCUGCCCUGAAGUUUGGGAUAGCCCAUGGAAACGUGGAUUAAUACCGGAUGUGGCGGUCAGCUUAUGGCUGACUUGCUAAAGGUUUACUGCUUCAGGAGGAGUUCGCGUACCAUCAGCUUGUUGGUAAGGUAACGGCUUACCAAGGCAACGACGGUUAGGUGGUCUGAGAGGACGAUCACCCACACUGGGACUGAGACACUGCCCAGACUCCUACGGGAGGCUGCAGUCGAGAAUCUUCCGCAAUGGACGAAAGUCUGACGGAGCGAUGCUGCGUGCCGGAUGAAGGCCUUCGGGUCGUAAACGGCUGUCACUCGGGACGAAUAUUUGACGGUACCGAGAGAGGAAGCCACGGCUAACUACGUGCCAGCAGCCGCGGUAAUACGUAGGUGGCGAGCGUUAUUCGGAUUUAUUGGGCGUAAAGGGUUCGUAGGGGGCUGUGCGUGUCUGAUGUGAAAUCUCAAGGCUCAACCUUGAAACUGCAUUGGAAACUGCAUAGCUAGAGUAUCGGAGAGGUAAGCGGAAUUCCUGGUGUAGCGGUGGAAUGCGUAGAUAUCAGGAAGAACACCGAUGGCGAAGGCAGCUUACUGGACGAUAACUGACCCUGAGGAACGAAAGCUAGGGGAGCGAACAGGAUUAGAUACCCUGGUAGUCCUAGCUGUAAACGUUGUGCACUAGGUGUAGGCGGAUUUGGUCCCGUCUGUGCCCAAGUUAACGCGUUAAGUGCACCGCCUGGGGAGUACGGCCGCAAGGCUAAAACUCAAAGGAAUUGACGGGGGCCCGCACAAGCGGUGGAGCAUGUGGCUUAAUUCGAGGCACGCGAAGAACCUUACCUGGGCUUGACAUAUAAUUGCCGAUCAUGGAAACAUGGUUUCUCUUCGGAGCGGUUAUACAGGUGCUGCAUGGCUGUCGUCAGCUCGUGCCGUGAGGUGUUCGGUUAAGUCCGGCAACGAGCGCAACCCAUGCUGUUAGUUACCAUCAGGUAAUGCUGGGGACUCUAACAGGACUGCCCGUGCUAAGCGGGAGGAAGGCGUGGACGACGACAAGUCCGUAUGGCCCUUACGCCCAGGCCUGCACACGUGCUACAAUGGCCGGUACAGAGGGACGCUACCCUGCGAAGGGACGCCAAUCCCGAAAACCGGCCCCAGUUCGGAUCGCAGUCUGCAACUCGACUGCGUGAAGUCGGAAUCGCUAGUAAAGGCGUAUCAGCAACGACGCCUUGAAUACGUUCCCGGGCCUUGUACACACCGCCCGUCACAUCAUGGAAGCUGGCCGUACCCGAAGUCGCUGACCGAACCCGCAAGGGACGGAGGCGCCGAAGGUGUGGCUAGUGACUGGGAUGAAGUCGUAACAAGGUA
rnacentral:rRNA from 1 species